GUACUUCUGGUAUUAUUUCGACAUCAGUGGUGGGAAUGAUCAGCAAGUUUGUCACCUGUCUUCUAGUCUUAAUUGGCCAUUGCAUAAGGACCCACUGAAGAGUUUCAGACAUGCACAGAGAAAAAGAGAUGAUGUGACUGCACGAGGAGCUCUGAUAGUCCGCCCACUGCUACAGCAACAAACUAAUCCACCUCCUCUCCUGAUUGGUUGACAGACCGUUGUUUUGAUUGGGAUUGCAACAUGCUAAUUGGCUGCGC
rnacentral:lncRNA from 1 species